rnacentral:misc_RNA from 1 species
AGACCUAAAAGAUCAAGAAGAGAAGAUGACCCUGAUGUUAAGAAGAUGCUGAUGAUGAGUAUUAGAGGAAGAAAAAUUGACUAGUGAGCCAUGGCAACUGGAGCUUGAUAGUUGAUGCUUCUCUGGUGAGGCAUGGCAAGCAUAGUAGUGUGAUCCAAGAAAUCAUUUAGAGAAAUCACAGACUGUAAUAUUGUUCUUAAAUCAUCUGCACAAGAAAACCUCAUGUUUCCUAUCCGUCGCACUGCAUAUACAUAGAAGGUGAUGCAUCCUUUUCUGAACUUAAACCUUGCCAUUUCAGACCCAGUUAGGCCUCUAAUAAGCUUCUUGUUCACUUCUCCAAGAGGUACCUCUUGUGGCCAUAUUCUGUCUACAGCCAACUUCAUAGACUCGGAUUCAAAAACAAACACUAGUAUUUUGGAUUUCUUGGUGCCAAGACCAAGUGUUAGAGUAUGCCAAGCUUGAUGGGCUAAGAUCGU